UAAUAAAAGCAACUGAGAAUGAAUAAAACCCAUUCAAAAUAGACUUACAACCUGAAACUAAAGAUUAAAAAUACGAGAUAUCAACCUGGUGGCAGUGAAGAGCUAAAUGGCACUCUCUCUAAUCUUUUGCGGGAGAGAAAGGAUAAAGAAAAGAAGAUGCAUUGGAUUAGUUGAAAGGGUGCUUCUACCCCAAAAGCUUUAGGUGGUAUUUCCAUAACUGUUUUUGAGUUAUUUAAUCUUACUUGUCUAGCAAAGCAAUGCUGGGCGUAUUCUAAAGGGCUUUUAUUUUCCUCACUCUUCCUUUUGACUAGCUUCUUCUAAGCGGAGUUCUUAGAUUCGGCAGAGCCUUUGGUUGGUAGGAAUGUGUUGAAAGAGGGAUUUAGACACAACAUCAGGGAUGGUAGGCAAACUCUCAUUUGAUUUGAUCCAUGGAUUCCUCGUAUCACAAGUUUCAUGGUCAAUAGACCUCCUCAUUGCUCGCCUAAUGUGAAUUUGGUUGUGGAUCUCAUUGACCAUGAUUCACUUCAAUGGAAAUAUAAGCUCAUUAGCACUCCCUUUUAUAUAGAAGCCGCCCAAGUCACUAUAACUAUUCCGAUUUCCCUUUUGGGAAACAAUGAUUCUAUCGUUUGGCACUUCGAUGAUUUUGGGCCAUAUUCUAUCAAGUCUGGGUAUGGGUUGCUUUCUAGAAAUAAGCAGCAAAUCUUAUCAAACAGAUCUAGCAAUUCGAUAGUUAUUUCAGGAAGUGUGUGGUGGAAAACGUGGAGAUUGUCCAUCUAACAAAGAUGAAAGGAUUCAUGUGGAAAGCUCUUCUAAAUGCCCUCCUGUUCGAAGCAAUCUUGCUGAAAGAGGUAUUCCUCUCUGCCCUUUGUGUCCUAUUUGCGAUGCAGAUGAGGAAUCUAUAGGGCACACUCUCUUUUGGUGCAAUCACACAAGGGCAACAUGGAUUGCAAGUCCUAGCUCCUAUAAACCGAAUCCAAUUGGUUUCACAUCUUUCUCUAAUUGGUGGGCAUCCUUGGUUCAAUAAUUUCAAACGGAUAUUGCUAUAUCUUGUUGGAUUAUUUGGAAGCAAAGAAAUUAGGUUGUCUAUGAGAGCUUUGUCCCUAAUCCUAUUGCAAUUGCUAUCCGUAUCGCAAAAAUUGUCAAAUGAACGGUCUCAGCUUCUUCAGAAUUCUACCCCCAUGUCAUCUUCCCUCGCUCGCAGGGUGGUAAAUGUGAAUUGGUCCCCCCACCCCCACCCCUCCUCAAGGCUUUAUCAAGUUUAACAGUGAUGUAGCGCCGAGGGAUGCAAAUUCUAGAGCAGUUGUAACUAUCAUAGUGAGAAACUCUCAAUGGCGUUUGCUAGAUGGUAUGGUUAGCUUCAUUCAAGCCUCCUCUCCUCUUACAGGUGAAGCUUGUGCUUUGCUUCUUGCUAUAAAGCUAGAUUUGGCUAUUAAUGCCAGAGCCAUCAUUUUAGAGAUUUAUUCUGCUAUUUUGUUUGAUGUUGGUUCUAAUUUGGAGGAUUUAAAGUUGUGGGAAAUUAGUGCUACUUUGUUAUCCAUUAAAGGCCUUUUAUCCCAUUUUUCUCAAGUUUCUUGUAAAAAGAACUACAAAUAGAGCAGCAGACCACCUUGCAAAAUUGUUUCUUUCAAGAGUCUUAUCUUGUAAUUGGCUAGUUGUUAUUCCUGACCAUUUGGCCUCUUUAUUGUACUCUGAUGCCAUUUCUGACUGUUUAAGUGCAUUUUCUUUGAAAAAAAAAAAUUAAGAAGAAGAAGAAGAAAAGCUUGGACAAAGCAGGGAAUCAGAUUCAAAUUGCACACUCGGCGGGACUUGGUUUUUAAUCCAACUGAGGGCUUCACAGAAAGACACAGCUUCAAUUAUUUUAGGAUCAGGAGGACCUUGAAGCUCAGUCUGACAAGCUUUAAUCAACAGCCCCUAUCGUCUUGCAGGAUCCAAUCCGCUCCAAUUCUAUUCUGCAAUCGAAGAGCUGCAUCUGUAUUGCAUUCCAGAAAACCUGAAGCAGAGCCUUCGUAGAAACGUCCCCAGCUCUCGCAACUGAAUUCUGAGGGAGAAGGAUUCCCACUUACCCGAGCUGCUAACCAUUGAUGCAAAUUGGAGGAAGCUGAAAAAAAAAAAGGAGCUGAAGCGUUAUUGUGACUGCCUUUUCAGAGCACCUCAUUUCUAUUUUUU